rnacentral:tRNA from 1 species
GCCCGGAUAGCUCAGUUGGUAGAGCGCAUUCUUGGUAAGAAUGAGGUCUCGGGUUCGAUUCCCGAUUCGGGCUCCA